GGUACAGGAAGCAGCUUGCUGCUUCGCUGACGAGUGGCGGACGGGUGAGUAAUGUCUGGGAAACUGCCUGAUGGAGGGGGAUAACUACUGGAAACGGUAGCUAAUACCGCAUAACGUCGCAAGACCAAAGAGGGGGACCUUCGGGCCUCUUGCCAUCGGAUGUGCCCAGAUGGGAUUAGCUAGUAGGUGGGGUAACGGCUCACCUAGGCGACGAUCCCUAGCUGGUCUGAGAGGAUGACCAGCCACACUGGAACUGAGACACGGUCCAGACUCCUACGGGAGGCAGCAGUGGGGAAUAUUGCACAAUGGGCGCAAGCCUGAUGCAGCCAUGCCGCGUGUAUGAAGAAGGCCUUCGGGUUGUAAAGUACUUUCAGCGGGGAGGAAGGGAGUAAAGUUAAUACCUUUGCUCAUUGACGUUACCCGCAGAAGAAGCACCGGCUAACUCCGUGCCAGCAGCCGCGGUAAUACGGAGGGUGCAAGCGUUAAUCGGAAUUACUGGGCGUAAAGCGCACGCAGGCGGUUUGUUAAGUCAGAUGUGAAAUCCCCGGGCUCAACCUGGGAACUGCAUCUGAUACUGGCAAGCUUGAGUCUCGUAGAGGGGGGUAGAAUUCCAUGU
rnacentral:rRNA from 1 species